rnacentral:rRNA from 1 species
AUUGAACGCUGGCGGCAUGCUUUACACAUGCAAGUCGAACGGUAACAGGCCGCAAGGUGCUGACGAGUGGCGAACGGGUGCGUAAUGCAUCGGAACGUGCCCAGUCGUGGGGGAUAACUACUCGAAAGAGUAGCUAAUACCGCAUACGAUCUAUGGAUGAAAGCGGGGGACCGUAAGGCCUCGCGCGAUUGGAGCGGCCGAUGUCAGAUUAGGUAGUUGGUGGGGUAUAGGCUCACCAAGCCAACGAUCUGUAGCUGGUCUGAGAGGACGACCAGCCACACUGGGACUGAGACACGGCCCAGACUCCUACGGGAGGCAGCAGUGGGGAAUUUUGGACAAUGGGCGCAAGCCUGAUCCAGCAAUGCCGCGUGCAGGAAGAAGGCCUUCGGGUUGUAAACUGCUUUUGUACGGAACGAAACGGCUCUGGUUAAUACCCGGGGCUAAUGACGGUACCGUAAGAAUAAGCACCGGCUAACUACGUG